rnacentral:rRNA from 1 species
UUGGAGAAAUUUGAUCCUGGCUCAGGACGAACGCUGGCGGCGUGCCUAAUACAUGCAAGUCGAGCGGACAGAAGGGAGCUUGCUCCCGGAUGUUAGCGGCGGACGGGUGAGUAACACGUGGGUAACCUGCCUGUAAGACUGGGAUAACUCCGGGAAACCGGAGCUAAUACCGGAUAGUUCCUUGAACCGCAUGGUUCAAGGAUGAAAGACGGUUUCGGCUGUCACUUACAGAUGGACCCGCGGCGCAUUAGCUAGUUGGUGAGGUAACGGCUCACCAAGGCGACGAUGCGUAGCCGACCUGAGAGGGUGAUCGGCCACACUGGGACUGAGACACGGCCCAGACUCCUACGGGAGGCAGCAGUAGGGAAUCUUCCGCAAUGGACGAAAGUCUGACGGAGCAACGCCGCGUGAGUGAUGAAGGUUUUCGGAUCGUAAAGCUCUGUUGUUAGGGAAGAACAAGUGCAAGAGUAACUGCUUGCACCUUGACGGUACCUAACCAGAAAGCCACGGCAAUAU